ACAUGAAGUCUUUACAAGAAAAGAUUGAACUUUAACCCCACGUGCUGACACAAGCACACAACAUUAACAUCAAGAGACUGGCACAGUGUCAUCUGGCAGUGACACAUACUGUCAAGACUUUUAUCCAGGUUAUCCUAUUCAUCAACAACUGGUCCUCACAUCGUCUGCUUUACCCACUCGAGACAUGAACCAUGAUAUAAAGUCGUUAACUGAACUUUAACCCUAAGACUAAGCCCCUUGACAUGAAUUCUCACAAUGCCCUUCACUAACUUUUCCCAAGUUUCCCAGGAGACUUUCUCGAUGGUUGAAUGGGUCGUAGGUUGCUGGUCUCGAAAAUUCAAUUUUGUUCCAUUGAGAGUGUCCUGUCCUUGUUAUCAAUCACUGCAGUCUUUUAAAAUUUAACGGUUUACUAUAGUGAAAAAGAGUUAAUAUUCAAGAUUCGACAAACGUCGCUGUUAUAUUAUUAAAAAGUUCAAAACAUUUGUUAUGUGGUUUAUAUUUUCAGACAACGGUGAAAUCCCGUAUUCGGAAUUCCAACACUCCUACCCACUGUUCUACGCUGAAGUAAUGAAGGAGAAGAGGGUCCUUGCUCACUGGUGAGAAGAUCACAGAGUCGCUACCUGCAGGACACCACAAAUACCAGUUGACAAGUUAAUGUAGUUUUAGUUUUUUGCGUGUUACUGAUGUGUUGUAAGGUGAAGCGACUUUCAAUAAUAAAUAAACAGUUCCUGGAUCCUU